rnacentral:rRNA from 1 species
UACGUAGGGUGCUAGCGUUGUCCGGAAUUAUUGGGCGUAAAGAGCUCGUAGGCGGUUUGUCGCGUCUGCUGUGAAAACCCGAGGCUCAACCUCGGGCCUGCAGUGGGUACGGGCAGACUAGAGUGCGGUAGGGGAGACUGGAAUUCCUGGUGUAGCGGUGAAAUGCGCAGAUAUCAGGAGGAACACCGGUGGCGAAGGCGGGUCUCUGGGCCGAUACUGACGCUGAGGAGCGAAAGCGUGGGGAGCGAACAGG